GUAGAAAAGGAGAAGUCCCAUGUGAUUUAUAAGAUUGAGUUCAGAAAGUCUUUGACCAAAGUAAGUAUGAAUACUGAAAAAAAAUUUCAUGGAAUUCACAAAUGAACUCGAGUCAAGCCAAUCUUACAUAAGACUGACGAUGGGGUUUGACGAGUUCUCUAUGACCUCCGUCAAGUUGAGACUCAUGAUAAAAAGAUUAAAUCAUACGAUAACUA
rnacentral:lncRNA from 1 species